rnacentral:rRNA from 1 species
AUUGAACGCUGGCGGCAGGCCUAACACAUGCAAGUCGAGCGGAUGAAGGGUGCUUGCUCCUGGAUUCAGCGGGGGACGGGUGAGUGAUGCCUAGGAAUAUGCCUGGCAGUGGUGGAUAACGUCCGGAAACGGGCGCUAAUACCGCAUACGUCCAGAGGGAGAAAGUGGGGGAUCUUCGGACCUCACGCUAUCAGGUGAGCCUAGGUCGGAUUAGCUAGUUGGUGGGGUAAAGGGCUACCAAGGCGACGAUCCGUAACUGGUCUGAGAGGAUGAUCAGCCACACUGGAACUGAGACACGGUCCAGACUCCUACGGGAGGCAGCAGUGGGGAAUAUUGGGCAAUGGGCGAAAGCCUGAUCCAGCCAGGCCGCGUGUGUGACGAAGGUCUUCGGAUUGUAAAGCCCUUUUAGUUGGGAGGAAGGGCAGUAGGUUAAUACCUUGCUGUUUUGACGGUACCAACAGAAUAAGCACCGGCUAACUUCGUG